rnacentral:miRNA from 1 species
UUGUUGACAAAUACUUAGGCUC